UACGCCAACUUCAGCAGUUCUUUGCAGAGCACAGCGGAGUGCUCGUCCUCCACGCAACGCAGCAUCAAUCUGAUCCCCUGCUUCGGCGCCGGCGGCUUGAGAUAUAUCGUCAUCGCGACGAUGUUCACAUCAUCAUUCAGCGGGAAAACGUAGCUCGGCUCCCCCCACCCGUAGUCGACCUUGUUGAAGCCGAGACGGCUCCAAUCCGACACGGUUAGCGUGCCGUAGUCCAGCGGCAUGUUGUAGUGGUUGUCCUUGGCCCCUCCAUUCACCCAGUCGACGAACCGCGUCGAGAGCGCCUCCUUCGCGUCCCUGAUCAUGGCCACGAUCUCGACGAUCGAUGCGUUGUCGAUCUCCUCGCUCGUCCUCGUGAUCCCCGCGGGGUACACGCAGUUGCCGUAGUAGCCUUCGACCGACGGCAGCACGCGGUGCAGCAGGUGGCGGGUGCUGGCCGCGAAGCACAGGCGGACCUCGGCAUCGGGGGGUAGGUUGAUGGCCUUGGCGCGGCACUUGUAGAGCAUCGCAGUGACGACGUCGAAGGUCGAGCACUUGUCACCCGUGGCGGCUGUGAAGUCAUUCUUGGUGCAGUUGAUGCUCUCCGAUGAGAUCUCGAUCACGGAGAUGACGAAUUUGAAGGCCGUGAAGGACGGCGGCGGGCCACUGCAGGGGAUCUUGGGGGGGUCCGGAAUGGCUUCGCGGGACCAGACGGGCGCGACCGACGGCUCCGGGAGGCCUCUCGCCAUCUCGCCUACGGCUUUCAGGAAAUGGGCCGCACCCUGGCCGUCGAACACCAGGUGGUUGAAGCAGAUGCCGACCGUGAUUCCGCCGCACUUGAAUACCGUCACCUGAGGUUAGAUAGUUGACCUAUGUGACAUCGGAGGAAUAAAGGUUUGCACUGAAUAUUCUAAGUUUCAAAAGCAAAAGCUACCACACCAAUACAAAAGUUGUACAUUAUCAAAUACCAAAACAAAACUGUAGGAUAAAUUAUAAAAUUUUUUCCUUAAAUACUUAAAUAAUAUUAUAACACUAAUAAAGUCAAAUUAGGAUGGCUACAUCUGUCAGAGCCGAGAGUUUUGCUCCGCUGAGCUCGCAUUUUCCUGGGAAAAAUGAAUGGUAGACUAGCAUGCAUCUGUCUUUAUUGAAAGCCGAGGCCCUACUUCCUGUCAAACCGGUCCCACAAGCUAACCAAAAUAAUCGGGUUAGAAUUUAGAAAAUAACUCAAACCCGAAAAUUGAAGUGAUUGCGAGAGAUCUUUGCCAAAAGAUCAGCUGAAUUAAAAAAAUCUCACUACAAACAAGAUCCGAUGUUGUCGGAUUUGGAUCCAAGCUAUUUAUGUGGAUUAACCAAACCGGAUUCGUUAACACUCCUCCAUGGCUCUAUUCACAAGGGAAUACUCCAUAUAGUUCGCAUCACGGGCAACAAUAACGGGUAUUAAGAAGGAUCCAACAAUGCGCAAUGAGCUAGUGAUUAGAAGCUCGUUCGCUUUUGCGAGCCCUUGAAACUUGCCCUGCUAUUUCAGAUGCAAACUCUAUAUUUUCAUGUCUAUAAUAACAAUAAGAUAAAACUUCAAAAACUCUCCUUGUGGUUUCGCACUUUCUCACUCCAGUGCCCUGUGGUUUAAAAUGUAUUAAUUUGGUGCUCUGUGAUUUUAUUUUUAUCUUUUUAUUAUCAAUUUUACUAUUUUUUUCUUAAAUCAGUGACAAAGUUAAAAUUAAAAUUAAAGAAUAUUAAAGUAAAUAUUCGAUAAAUCUAUGUGGGUAUUUUAAGUUUUUUUUUUAUAUAAUUUAACAAAAUAUUAACGAAAAAGCUAUAGAAAAAAUAAAAAUAAAACCAUAGGGCACCAAAUUAAUACACUUUAAACCACAGGGUAUUCAAGUGAGAAAGUGGGAAACCACACGGGAGUUUUUGAAGUUUUUCCUAACAAUAUAUUAGUCACUCUAUCGUAAAGAGUAAAAUAGUUAUCCUAUAAGAAAUAUUGAUUAUCUUGGCCUUUUUGCAUAAAAAAUUCAUUUAUUUUGGGCUUUUGCAAAAUCGGGUCAUCUUUUUCGUUUUUGCAGAUUCGGUCCGCUUUUUCAGCAAACUGACCAAAAUACCCUUAUUACUUUUUCUCUUUCCUCUUUCUCUCUCCUCUUCGUUCUCUCGUUCUUUUUUUUUUCUUUCCGCCGCGGACACCCCGUCGGGCCGUUUCUUUUUUUUUUUUUUUUCUCUCUUCCUGCCCUGGAGCACUUUUUUUUUUUCCCGUCUAUCCUUCUUCUUUUCUCUAUCUUCUUCUUCCUAGUAAGAGCAGGGGCGCGCCACGGCUGAUUUCGUCGGCCUCGCAAGGCGCGUCACUCCGGCGCGGUUCUGCAGGGAGGGGUCCGCACCGGCGACCGAGCGUCGCAGCGAGGGUGGGGGCGCGGCAAGGCGGGCGGGCGAGGUGGAGCGGGGUGUCGCAGCCUGGGGACGUCGCGCCGGUCGGCGCUGUCACGCGCGCCGCCCGCCGCUCCGCUCCAGCCUCGGCCGCCGUCAGCGAUCUCUGACGGCCUGCUCAUAUUUUUGUAAUGGUGUAAUGGAGUGCCCGCGGUCGUGGCAGGCAGCCAGCGCGCGGGCAGGCACUGCGGGCGCGCUGCGGCUGCUUUCUUCUCGUCGUAAAUGGUGUAAUGGUGCACCAUUACACCAUAUAAUUGGUGAAAUUACACCAUUCACACUUAAUCUGGUUGAAAUACACCAUUACAACUGGUGUAAUUUCACCCAUUAAUGCACGCGGCCCCACGGAUCGACCCGCAGGUGGACUCCGCGGGCCAGCGCCGCCGAUGGGCUCCUCGAAGGGGAGCAGAACACCCGCGAGAGGUUGGUGAGGAGAUGUCGAGGGACGCGAGGGCGCUGGGACCCGGGCCGCGCGGGGAGCAGACCAUUCCCCGCGCCAACGAACGCGCAGGGUCUGACAGCUGGCGUUGGACGACUGAUCGCGAGCGCCAGGACGGUGCCCGAGCGCCGACCUCACCGCAACAGAAGCGCCGCCACCUUCCGGCCGCCGCCGCGGUGACGCCCUCCUCCGCGUGCCGCCGCCUGAGGAUGACGACGAAGAAAAGAAGAUAUCAAUUGAAAUCAUAUUUAUUGACAUUAAUAGUUUGAUGCAGGUGUCUAUUAAUUCGUUCAUAUUGACGUAUACUACAAGUUACGAGUAUGAAGAAAUGCUUGAGUUUUCAUGAUUAAAUUAUCUAUUGCAUACUUUUUUUUCUCUGCUUCCUCACGAAAACUUAAUAUCUUGUCCUACAUAUCUAUUUGGUAAAAGGACAUGUAGGUAUAUGGAAAUUCUAAAUACCUGGUUGGUAAUUAAAUAACAGUAGCUGGAGAUAUCUCUAAUAUGUCCUAGAAUUAGUUGGGUCGGCACUACCUGUACCAGAAGAAAUUUUUAACAAAAUCUAAUAAUUGCAGCAAAGUUUGUUUUCUUUCUUUAGCUGGUCCUCUUAAACAACUAAUUUUAACGUUUAUCAGAGAGAUGAUCCAGCACAGACCUCCUAUAAUCAAGUUGAGUGUACAUGUUGCGACAUUGUGCUGUGGGAGGCGUCAUCCCGGAAUGCUCCCAUUUGCAAACAUGACAGCUGCCAGGUCUUGCAUUCGCUGAUAGUGGAACAAGGCGUCCCGCCGCGAUUAAUCUCCGCAUGAUUGCCUCCCUGCUCUUGCGAGAUUCAACUUCUCCGUUUCUUCUCUCGUCGUCGUCCAUCGGCGGCGCGCGCGGAGAGGGUCGGCCGGCGGCGGCCGGAUGGUGGCGACGGCUUCGUGGUGAGAGUCGGCACUCGCAACCCGUCGGGCGCGCUCGCGUCGGGUCCACCCAGCUCGUUGGAGCCUGCGCGUCGUGGCGGCGGGUGAUCCUGUCCCCCCGUGCGGCCCGGGUCGCAGCGCGCCGUCGCAUCCCUCGACAUCUUCCUGCCUCAACUCUCUCCGCGGGUUUCCUGCUCCCUUCGGGAGGCGCCUCGCUGGCUGCCCGCGGAGUCCACCGCGCGGCUCUGCUCCGCGGGCCACGUGCACCGUUAAUGGUAAUAUAUUACACCAUUAUACCAUAAUGGUGUAAUGGUUGUAAUUUACACCCAUUAAUGGUGUAAAUGGUGCAACACAUUACACCAUUACCGAGCGGAAGAAGAGCAGCAGCGCGCACCGCGUGCUCGCCCGCCGCAGCUACAUGCCCGCACCCGUGCACCAUUAACACCAUUAGCGAAGAAGAAGAAGCCGCCGUCGAGAUCGGCGGCGGCGGCCGACGCCGCCCCGGCAGCGCCGUGACCGGCGCGUGGACCGCAGCCCUCGACCGGCGCAAAUGUCCCAGCUGCGACAUCCCCGUCUUCCCACCUCGCCCGCCGCGGCUCCCGCGCGCCUUCCACCGCUCGCUGGCAGCGUCAGCGUCGCGGUGCGACCCCUCCCUGGCAGAAUGCUUCGCCGGUGGCGACGCCAACUGCUUGGCAGGACCGUGAAGUCGCCGUGGCGCGCGCCCGUGGCUCCUUAUACAAGGAAUAGAAGACCGAAGAAGAAAGAAGAAAAGAAAAAGAAGAGGGAAAAAAAAAAGUACUCGCAGGAGGAAGAAGAAGAAAAAAAGAAAAAGAACGAGAGAAAAAAACAAAAAAAAAAAACGCACGCUCCUGACGGGUCCGCGGCGGGAAAAAAAAAACGAGAGAACGAAGAGGGGAGAGAAAGAGAAAGAGAAAAAGUAAUGAAGAGUAUUUGGUCAGUUUGCUGAAAAAAAGGAGCCGAAUCUGUAAAAACGAAAAGAUGACCUGAUUUGCAAAGCAAAUAAGUGAAUUUUUAUAAAAAAAAGGCGAUUAUCUUUUAAAUUGUAAAAAACUAAAAAUGCGUUGUGCUAUUAUGAUGGGAAGUAAAAGGGACUAUAUUUAAAGUUUACGUUUGAGAUUAUCAACGCAAAUAGUUUCUGAAACGACACUAAAGAAGAUUCUGAUGAACCAGUACUCCAAAUUAAACAUCGCAAAUAUUAGAUCGGAUCUGACCUUGCGCCAUGAGGAUUGGUGUCCCUCGGAGCUUCACCUCGGGGGAGGGCGAGGGAGGAGCUCCUCUCUAGGGAUAUGAGGGGGCGCUCGGAGCUGGUUAACUGUCGUCGCAAGGGCGCAUCGGCCUCGGCUCCAGAACCAGAUCCCGUCGCCCGAGGCAACUCGACAUGGCGCGCCGCGAGACGCUUCGACGAUCCUCCUCGGCGUAAGGGGGAAGUAGGGGACGAGGGCGCGGCGAAGCCCUUCUGCAUGCGGUGAAGGCGGCGGCGGCGCCGCCGCCGCCGCCGUGAGGGAGAAACCGUGGAUGAAUUCGACACUGGAGACACGCGAGUUGACGGCGCGGUCGAUGGAGGAGAGGGGAGGAGGAGCGUCGAGGAUCGGGUCGGCGACGCGGGGGGGACGAGGUCGGAGGGACUUGUCACCGCGGGCUCGAUGGCGAUCGAGCUCUUUGGGGGCCAUGAAAUGGGGAGUGGAGAUGGAGAUGGAGAGUGGGGAUUAAUGGGGGAUUGGAGAGAGGAAACAGGGAAGGGGUGAAUGAAUGAGAGCCUACGGACGGUUGACAAUGGUGUGUAUCUAGUGAAGACCCGCGGAAUAUUUGCAGACGUAAAAUAAUUUAUUAAUAUUUAAAUUAAUUUUGAAAAAAUAAGUUAACUGACCUAAAAUUAUUUUGAAAUAAAAUAAUUUAAAUUGAUAUAUUGCCUCAUAUAAAUUUUUUUUAUAUGAAAUAUAUUAGUAAUCAAAUUGUAGAAAAAUAUAUGGGAAAAAAAGAUAAAGGAAUAAUGAAUAAUUUAAAAAUUUUAUUUACAUUAAAAUUUUACUAAAUUUAAUAGAUAUACAGUAUACUAAACUUUACUUAUUAGUUAUUUAAUUGUUAUUUAGCACAAGAAUUAAAAUUAUUGAAGUUUUGUCAUUGUUUUAUUAAAAUUUAAUAAUAUUUGAUUUAAAACAAUUACAUUAUCAUAAAAAUCAAAAAAAUAAGACUUUAUUUUUAAAAAAAUGAGAGGUCUAUCUAUAAGCAAUCUAAUAGUUGAGAGGUUCUCAGCGUCAUUUUUAACACAAAAAAAUAUUCACCCACGUGAGAGUCCAUAAAGUCUCUCUAAUUUUUUAAAGCGAAUUUUAAACAUAUCCUUAGGGUAGAUGAACACUUAUAUCUAGAGAUAAUGAAUAUUCAACAUAUUUUCUGUAGGCUGGUCAUCAUCACACCAAUAGAUUGGCGGUCAUUAUCAUACUUUCAAAUCAAAAUAAUUUUCUGAAAGGUAACGCUUUAGAUUAGGUUUUAGCAAAGUGCUGUCGAUGUAUUUCUAAAUGGAAUUGUGAUAGUCGCUUGGUAGUAUUGAAUAAGUAGGCAUCCUUGCUCUGCGAAACCGAAUCCACAUUAAUAUGACGGGAGUAGAUUAAUCGAGUCAUAUUUUUGAAGUGACAUAUAGGCUGGUUAAAAUUAAGUUAUAUAUCGAAAUAUGUGAAGUACUGUAUCUGUAAGCUUAAGAAAAUUUAUUGUUUACUUACAUAAUUUUGAGUUUUGGGAUUAUUAUUAGUGCCAGAAUAGAUGCGGCAAUAAUGAUUCUAAUGAUGAGAAAUUACCAAAAUAAAUUGCCUAGUAGUUACUUAUUAGGCAUAUAUUUGUUUAAAACAAAUUUAAAUUUAUAAUAGUAUUUGGAAAUUUCUAGUUUUGAUACAUAUGUGUAAUUUAUAUCAAUUCAUUGUUAUUCUGAAUAAAGCAGCGAAUUUAUAUCAUCCAACCUAAAUUUAGCAGUAUCUAUAUGUCGCAGCACUUUGACCUGUAAAUAGUACAUGACCAAUCAAAAUUAAAUAAGCAACUUAUUUAAAUACCACUAGGUACGGGGAAUAAUGUACAAAGUUAAGAGGUUAUUUUGCAUCUUUGUGGACAUGUUUCUAUAUUAUUGGUGCACCUGGUGCACUAUGGACCAAUAAAAAUAUGGACUUUUAAUUUUAAAUGAAUAUAAUAAAUAAUUAUUUUAUAAAUAUUAACUAAUUAUAGGUACAUUUCAAAUACUGUAAAUAUAGAAUUGAAUAAUUAAUUUAAAUUUUGACAUCGUCAAUUGUACCACAUUAUUCUGCCCAAAAUCUGUCCGUGGCAAAUUCUCUGCGUGUAGGCAUCUCGCCGGCAAAGUUUCCUGCUUAGAUGUCUAUUCUUUUCUCUCAAGCUAUAAUACAUUUUGUUACGGAAUGCGUGGACACGUNNNNNNNNNNNNNNNNNNNNNNNNNAUAGGCAUAUAUUUUUUAAAAAAAUUUAAAUUUAUAAGUAGAUAUUUGGAAUUUGCUAUUUUGAGUAACAUAUGUGUAAUUUAUAUCAAUUCAUUUUAUUCUUGAAUAAAGCACGAAUUUAUAUCAAUCCAAAUAAAUUUAGCGUAUCUAAUGUCGCACACUUUGACCUGUAAUAGUACAUGACCAACAAAAUUAAAAAGCAACUUAUUAAAUACACUAGGUACGGGGAAUAAUGUACAAAGUUAAGAGGAGCAUCUUUUGUGGAUAUGUUUCUAUUUUAUUGGUGCACCUGGUGCACUAUGGACCCAAUAAAAAUAUGUGAUUUUAUUUUAAUGAAUAUAAUAAAAAAUUUAUAAAUAUUAAUAUAUAGACAUUUCAAAUACUGUAAAAUAAAUUGAAUUAAUUAAUUUAAAUUUUGACAUCUCAAUUGUACCAAUUUAUUCUGCCCAAAAUCUGCCUGGCACAUUCUUGCGUGUAGCAUGCUCCGGCAAGUUUCUGCUAGAUGUCUAUUCUUUCUCUCAGCUAUACCAUUUUGUUACGGAGUGCGUGGACACGUAAGCUGUCUCCUUAUUUUGCACUCUCGCAUAUAAGCUGAGAACUCUGCUGAAAUAUAUUCACCUCCAUCAUCCGUACGCAGGCAUCGUAUUUUAUAACCGGUUUGGCCUUCAACUUUUUUUUAAAAUUCUUUAAAUUUUUGUAGCACUUCAGAUUUUUCUUUAAUAAAGUAUACCCAGACGUACCUUGAGAAGUCAUCAAUGAACGUCACUAUGUAGCGCAUGCCGCUAAUUGAUGUUUGCUUGACUGGUCCAAAAACAUCAGAGUGCACGAACUCAAGCGGUACCUUGGCUCUAUAUUUGGAUUUAGUGUAGGAAAGUUGAUGAGCCUUACCAAACUGGCAUCCUGCGCAGAUUGUGUUUCCUCAUACUUCAAGUUGAGGUAAGCCCUUAAGCAUACUGCGCUCCAUUAUAAUUUUUAGUUUGUGAUAGGUCACAUGUCCCAGUCUUGCAUGCCACAAAUCAGCAGUCUCAUUUUUUCGAGUCUUCUCUACGUAUGCUGAUUCUGCAGACAUUACGUAUAUAGACUCUACUUUCUUUCCUUCCAUGAUUUGUAUACCUGAUAUAUUAGGACUGCGAAAUAUCUUGACAUCUUACGGCCCAAAUACUACAUAAUUGCCCGAUGCAGUCAAUUGUGAUACUGAUAAGAGAUUUUUCUUCAUACCUGGGACAUGGUAGACGUUCUGUAGUUGUACUUGAUGUAGGCUGAAUCUGGGUGUGGUGAUUGUCUUUCCUAUAUGAGUGAUUGGUAGCUUCGAGUUGUUAGUUGUCACCACUACUCUUUCUCCUUUAUAUUCUGUUGUGCUGAGCAGCUUGUCUCUAUCACCGGUCAUAUGAUUGGAAUAUCCAGAAUCGAUGAUCCAAUCUGUAUUGUAAUUCACCUCUCUUGGAUUUUCUAUUGUUGUGAGUGCAUACACUGGUACCUGUUUUAGUAGCUUUUCCUUCUUAGCACAUGGCGUCAUUUUCUCUGCAGCAGUGUCUUCUGACCUUUAUUCUUUGAGAGCCUCCUCAGUGUCUAACUGACAAUCUUCUUUUGACUCUAUGAUGGCGAAGGAGGCUUCAGCAUCCCACUCUUCUUCAUUUUUGUAUGCUGCUUGGUGGUCACCUGACGUUGCCAUAUUGCCUUAUACUUGUUUCUUCUUGUGCCAACAGUCUCGGGCGAAGUGUCAUUUCUUGCUGCAAUUGUAACACUCUCCGCUUCGUCGUCUGUCGCCUUUAAACUGCCAGGUAUUUUGCUCCAUCUGGUUGUAGACUCUCCCUGUAAUGUGGCUCUCUCCCAACCUUUGUUUUGACCCACUGAACUCCUUCAGCGGUUUCACAUUUCUUGGCCCUCCUGUUGCUCGACCUUUUCUUCUACUGCUAAAGAGUGCCUCAUCUUCAGUUUUUAGUAAGACUCCGGCCAUCUGUUUGACUAGAGCCUCCUGAUUAGCUAGUAAAUUUUCUAGCUCCACCAACGUUGGUUGAGUGGGCCAACCUCGAAUAGCAGUAAUGAACCCGUUAUAUUCGGGUUUUAGGCCGUGAAUAAUAAUUCUCUUCAUCCGCUGGUCACUAAUUUUUGACUCUGGAUCUAAUUGGAAAAUUUCACGGCAGAGAGAUUUUACCUUCAUUAAGUACUGGCUAAUCGUCAUGCUGCCCUGAGAUAUCGUCAUCAGCUCAUUUUCCAGUAGUUGAAGUCGAGCAUUAUUCUUCUUUGAAAAUAACGAGGCGAGGGUGUCCCAUGCAGCCUUGGGUGCAUCUGCUUCCUUGACAUGCUCCGGCAGCUCUUCUUCGAUUGUCGUCUUCAGGACGAAUAUCGCCUUCCCUGCCUUGAUACGCCACUUUCUGAACGCUUCUGCAUUCUCCUUCGGUGGUGGAGUUGUUUCAGCACCACCGAUUACCUCCCAUAGAUCCUGCCCCUGUAGGUAGAACUCGAUGCAGAUUUGCCAAUAACCAUAAUUAUGGUUAUUUAGCUUAUUAAUUCCGCUAGUUGUACCAGCAAGAUCUGCCAUAGUGACUUGGUGAUUACCCAACAGUGAACUAAGUAAGUCUGGUCCCAGACCAACCAACUUCACAGUCCCAAACUGUACACCAGCAAAAUCUCUGCUUAUAUCGGUAUUUAACUGUCUGGACUGGCAGAAUAUCACCGACUUAACUAGCAGAAUAUUUUCUACAAUCUGGCUCUGAUACCAAAUUGUAGAAUAUUAGCGUACCAAACUAAUAAUAAAACUCUCUUUAUUACACACAAAAUAACUCUCAUUCACAUACACCUAUAAGACUACAAACCUUACACACUCACUUCACUAUUUCACUACACCUUAUAACACUUCCUCAUCUCACACCACCACUCACACCCUUACUUCACUAUAUCUCACUCUUCACUCUCACUUUUGCACUCUUGCACUCUUGCACACUUGGUGUGGAAGCCUCACACCUAUUUAUAGGCCUCCAGCCAACCUACAUAAGCACUUUAGAAUAUUCUAGAAUACUUGCUUCUAGAACUUACUAAAGUGCUCUAUUAGCAAGUGGUGAGCACUUUAUUCUUAGAGUUUUCUAAAGUGCUCCAUUAGCUAGUAGAGAAUUGGAAAGAGAUAGAGCAUUCUAGAAUGUUCUAUUAAAGAGAGGGAGAGUUGCCUCUUUCACUUCAGCAGUUCAUUGCAGAACACAGCAGAGUGUGCUCUUCCUCGACGCAGCGCAGCAUCAAUCUGAUCCCCUGCUUCGGCGCCGGCGGCUUCAGAUAUAUGGCUGACGCGACAAUGUUCACGUCAUCGUUCAGCGGGAAAACGUAGCUCGGCUCCCCCCACCCGUAGUCGACCUCGUUGAAGCCGAGACGGCUCCAAUCCGACACGGUUAGCGUGCCGUAGUCCAGCGGCAUGUUGUAGUGGUUGUCCUUGGCCCCUCCAUUCAUCCAGUCGACGAACCGCGUCGAGAGCGCCUCCUUCGCAUCCCUGAUCAUGGCCACGAUCUCGACGAUCGAUGCGUUGUCGAUCUCCUUGCUCGUCCUCGUGAUCCCCGCGGGGUACACGCAGUUGCCGUAGUAGCCUUCGACCGACGGCAGCACACCGUGCAGCAG
rnacentral:lncRNA from 1 species